UACGUAGGGGGCAAGCGUUGUCCGGAAUCAUUGGGCGUAAAGAGCGCGUAGGCGGCCCUGUAAGUCCGCUGUGAAAGUCAAGGGCUCAACCCUUGAAUGCCGGUGGAUACUGCAGGGCUAGAGUCCGGAAGAGGCGAGUGGAAUUCCUGGUGUAGCGGCGAAAUGCGUAGAUAUCUGGAGGAACACCGGUGGCGAAGGCGGCAUCCUGGACCAACACUGACGCGUGAGUGAGCGAAAGCCAGGGGAGCAAAGCGGGAUUAAG
rnacentral:rRNA from 1 species